rnacentral:rRNA from 1 species
UACGUAGGUGGCAAGCGUUAUCCGGAAUUAUUGGGCGUAAAGAGCGCGCAGGUGGUUGAUUAAGUCUGAUGUGAAAGCCCACGGCUUAACCGUGGAGGGUCAUUGGAAACUGGUCGACUUGAGUGCAGAAGAGGGAAGUGGAAUUCCAUGUGUAGCGGUGAAAUGCGUAGAGAUAUGGAGGAACACCAGUGGCGAAGGCGGCUUCCUGGUCUGUAACUGGCACUGAGGCGCGAAAGCAUGGGGAGCAAACAGGAUUA